UGUGUGAAAAAUAUCCAAAUUAAAACCACCUACCAUUAGACAUUUGAUUAUUUUGAUAAUUUUUUUUUUAGUUCAUAAUUAUAACAACCAUAGCUGUGUAACCAACAUUCUCAUGACAUUUACUUGAUCAUUUUAACAGUGUAUAAUUCUAGAAACAGGAAUUUUUAUAUGUAAAGUAAACCUUAGUUACUCUGCUUUAUUCAAUAUAUUAAACUGACCAUUUUAUCAAAUGCAUCAUUUAUUUACUAACUCGUUAUCUCAUUAUGCUGAAACAGGAUUUACACAGACUAUACACCAGUAUUUUUGGCUAUUUUUUCUUUGCAUUUAAACACCAACCAUCUGCUUAUGGAUGUCAUCAUCUAGGCAACACUUCCCUUUAAAUCCCAGCAAUUUAUUUGCAAUCCCUUAACAAGUGAAGCAUGCAAAUCACAUUUUGACAUCAUUUCUUCUCUUCUUUACACUGUGUAAUUCAUUUCACCUAACUUGUACAUUUUAACAUUAGACCUACCAAACUACUGUACCCAAAUCUAUGAGAAGAAAAGGGAACAUCUGAGAGCAGUUUAUCUCAAACAUCUUAAACAUCUAUCACAGAAUGAAAUAAAUCUUUGAAGAUGCCUUUUUGUCUCCUUGACAUAAGAACAGACUAGGUGAAUAGUCAGACUGAAAGGAUUAACUUCUAACACUUACAGUGGAGUACCAAACAAGAGCUUAGAGAGAGGUCUCAAUUAAGUAAGACUAGGAGCCAUUUUCUAAUCCUCAGAGAACACAGCCAAACAUUUGAUCCACCAUUGUUUUUCUAGCCUAUACCACGUGUACAUGAAUUAUUUCAGAAAAAUAGUUGAUGAGCAUUAGUAUUUGCCAGGCAGCAAGGAACAGUUUGGUGGCCAUCCAGAAGGGGUAAAGAGAAAAGCAUAGGAAUUAGAAAGAAUCAGUAUUGGCAUAUAAUAUUCUCUUCCCCCAGUGUUUUAGAAAAAAAUGGCAAGGUAAGUUAAAGCAGUCUUCUGGCAGCUUAAACUCACGCAGUCAGCCUAAAACACAGCAGGUUGUCCUAAGUCUCUCUGUCUUUGGAAAAGUUACAUGGAUCUUAUUUGCACACAGGUGACCUGCUUUGAAUGAUAACUGAAAUGCUUAGACUGUACAUAAGAAGAUUCACUUUUUUGUUUUCACAUUAGUCUCCACUUCAUUAUACUCAUAUUGUUUGAUUCUCACUUCAAUGGUGAGUGUGUAUUAACUGUGGACAGAGUAAGAAAAGAACUUCCAUGCCACAGGCAGAUCAAAAUUCCCAGUUGCAACACCAUCACCACAGCCUACCAUGGGUGAUAUCUGUGCUCCCUCACCAGCUGUAGCCUCUACAGGAGAUGGAAGGCAAUGAAAGAUCCUCAGGCUCCUUGGUAAGACCAGCAGUAGCAUUCUUUCCUACUGCUAUGCUGCAUCAACUUACUGUUCCUACUAGCAUUUCUGGGCACUACAGUAAAUAGUAAAGCAUUAAGGGAUACAACAUUCUACAAAGUCUAACAGUAUCCACACAUCAGUAAUUACCACAACAAGAAGCUUGCAGCACAACUGCCAAAAAUUUACAAUGAUUGUUUUUGUUUUUCAUCUCUCCAGCUAAAAGCGGAAGAAUUCCCAUGACUCUGUGAUUGAUCUGGAAGGUUUCUUCUCCUUCUUCUGUGUAUGGAUAUCCCACACUUGCUUACAGUGAAAGAGCCUGAAGCAAUACCCUGAAGUAUUCACUGUAUCCAAGGACCAUAUUUCAGUUUGUUCAUUUGUUUUUCAAGAGCCUGAGCGUACGAGAGAAGUAAAAUGCCAUGUAUGGUAGCAGUAUGUUCACUCACUCUUGUCAUACGUGCUUUCAAGACUCAUUUGACUUUGCUCAUUGACUCUGAACUGUGGUUACAACUACCACACAUAAUCACCAGGGAUCUACACUGCAGCAUCCCCAUGCAAGUCGAUUCUUACUGCUCUGCUGCAUCUUAGCUUUCAGGAUGAAAACUUAUUCAGCAUUUCUUCUGGCCUCAUAUUUGAAGGAAUGCUCUUAUGCAUACAAUUGUUUUUAGAGAAAAUGAAGAUUAAGAUUUUUACUAGGAAAAUACUAAACCUGCAUGUCAGACUUCUGUGUGGGUACAUUUUAUGUCUCGCUUCCUUGUAGAGUACGUGUCAUCUGAUGACUUUAACUAUUCCCUUUCUACAUCAGUCUCUGACACUGCUAACACUAUGUUAUUUAGUUUACUCCUGUAAAUGAAACACUGAGCCCUUUUGAAGUUAAUGGAAAAAAAAAAAAAAAAAAAAAAGCCUUCCUAUUUUUAAUGUGAGUUAUUGUCUUUCAGUAAGGGUACUAAUUGGAUCUUUGUGCUACCAGCAAGUGCUGUCCUUUGAUUUGAAAAGUGAGCUUCAAAACGCAGAUGCUCUUGCUAUUAUAUUCUGCUGAAGGAUCUGAACAUUUUACUCUGAGAACAGCAUUAAAUUAAAAAACAAAAAACGAACAAACAAAAAAAACACAACUAGUAAUAUAUCCCAUUGGUCUGCUCUGAAAUCAUUUGUACAGUAGAAAUUAAUAUUUGUACAGUGAAGCACUUUUGCAUUCUUGGAUGAAAGACGAUAUGUUUAAAAGCAAAGUAUUAAAAUUCAUCUCUGCAAUGAUUUUCUAAAGAAAAAACUGAGCAAUUCAGUAUAAUUAGUCAACUAAUAAAAAAAAUUAAAAAUGCUUAAUAAUCUGUAAUUUACAUUUCUCGGUGGAAACCAAUAUUAUGCCUAGAUUACAGUCAGGAUAAUAUAAUUAGUAGAAUGACUGACUCAAAUUAAUCAUGACUGAAGAUCUGAUUACUAUAAGGGAUCAUACUACUAUCACAGUCUUUAUGUACUUUCUCCUUUUAUCUUCUUAUUACAGCACCAAUUUUUUCCCUCUGUGCAGAAAGUGUACAUGAUUUUCACUUGCCAGUGUCUUAAAACUGCUGCUUUGAUAUUAUAAUGCACAUCUUGUGAAUGACGGGCCUCAAAAUAAUUCUAUUCUUACAAAGAAGAAACUGAAGACAAGGACAACUGUUUUUAAUAAUAUUAUUUACAAGGUGCUAAUGUGCAAUUUGUUGCCUGUCAAAACAGUGGGAAUUAUGUUCUCAUUCUGUGUUAAAUAUAAUUAGCUAAUACUUUCUAGAGGACAUGCAGACAGAAUAGGUAUCUCAUAUUUUAUAGCUGUGUUACUGAUUUCAUUAUUUGUCUUCAUUUUUUUUUCUCUCUCUCAGAACACAAGAUUUUAAGAUAUGUCUCCGAGAUGCUCAAAUGAAAUCUACUAUAAAGAAGUUGAGUUUUCUCUUUAAGGGAAUUAACGUUCUGUAUAAAAAAGCAUCAAGAAAGAUGUUUUAAAGGAGAUAACUAUGAAUUAGGUUGUGCAUAAUUAAUUUUUACAUAAUUUUCAUUCUGGGAUUAAAAUUGUUAAAAAAAUAUAUGUAUCACUUUCAGACCUUUAUUGCUUCGAAAGCAUUUUUUCCCACCAAACCAAAUUCUGUAUAAUAUAUCAUAAAUGUGUUUCUUUUGGCUAGCUAAAUUAGUUUACAGCUUACUGAAAUGUUAUUUUACCAUCUCUGUGUAUCAAAAGGGGCUGUACAAGCCUAUAGUAAAAAGAAAACCUACUCCAAAGUUUACAGUCAAAUGACAAGAUGAGGAAGGUUCAUCAAACAAAAAGUUGAAGGAGGAUAAGAAAACAUCCUGUUGACAUGCCACAUUUUCUGGCAUAGAAAAGUUAUGAGUACAGUUUGUAGCAAAUCAGACCACUUGUACUCUUUUAACUUCAUCCACCCCAGGGAGUGAUAUAUGGAAGCCAGCCUCCAAAACUGCCCCCUCUAAGACAGAUUUUUAGCCGCUUUUGCAUGAGUGGUUCUUGGUAUUAGAUUUUUUCUGGUCCCUGUAUAGAUUAUACAAUGGUUUAUUCAUAAAUAUAUACAAACAUGUAUAUAUAAAUAUAUACAUUUCUGUAUGUGUGUACAAGGGUUUGCAUAUGUGUAUGUAUUAAUGGGUGGGCUGAGGAGGGGACUUCAAAGUGUCUGAAGUAACGAGACAACGGUGUUGCAGCCCACCUGAGAGGCUUUUUAAGGCAUGGAAAUGUGCCUAUAUGUCACAUUGGUAGAGUUAUCAAAGACACGGUGUUGUGCCAAAAAAUCCCAAGCCUGGUAGGAAGGAAUGCUAAGGGCUGGAGAAUCAAAGCUCCUCUGAUCUAUUUGAGAUACCUACUGAAUGAGAGCGCUAUCCACUGAGCCAUGGUUGGAUUUAACUUGCUAGGCAAGUACUUGUGUCAAAAGAGAACCUGGGAAUGAACUAACAUUUGUAGCAUUUAUACAUAUAUAACUGACAGUCUAUACACUAAGACCAAAACUAAACUGGAGAGAGAACUUAACUAAUAUCCAAAUAACAUUAACAAGCUCAAAAAAAAAUUACUGUCAGGCAUUUCUAUAAGGAUACACUAACACAGCAAGAAACACUGCGCUUUUUUUUUUUUUUUUUUUUUUUCCCAAUGUGUGGAAUUAACCUUACUUAGAUUCAAACAUUUAAUAAUAAUCUUCCCAUACACCUUUUGAAAUUUUGUAAUUGUAAAACCUGAUCUAAGUUGACUAUGGAGUCUUUCUGGAGACUCUUUCACAUGAGAAUGAAAUUGUCUUCGGAGUAGCCUACUUUGCUGUACUAACUAUAGAGAAAUCUAAAGCAACUUGUCAUAAUUAAGUCCUUCCUUUUAGGUAUCUAUAGAUGGUGGUGUACCUAAAUAAGAUUAAUUUGGGCAAGAACUCUCAGUUUUGCUUCUCUUUGCAUCUCAGUAAUGAUAACAUUAUGCAAAUUACAAUUUCUAGCAAUGAUGGCCAUUUCAAGGCAAAAGCAAGACAAAAAGUAUCAAAAAAUGGAGUUGAGAGAUGAUGUCAAUGGUUUAUGGGCUGGUUUGUCUCAGUUUCGUGACUAGCAGGGCAGAGGGACUGGCAGAUCUGAGCCUCUGGAAAAGGAUAAGGGAAAGGGAUAGAGAUAUGGGCCCCAAAAUAAAACAGCAGCAAUGAUCUGAGGAGAAACAAAGUAAUUUAUUAAAUAAGAUAUCAGAGUGCAAGAUAACACACUGUAAUACAAUAUAAUACAAUAUAAUGAGAAUUGGAGCUAAUAAAUCAAAUAUAAUGAGAGUGCCCAAAAGCCGAAGGCAUUACUUUAAUGAUGAGGCAAGACAUGCAGUCGGGACAAGCAGAAGGGAGUAGAGCCAGACGGUCAAAAGGGAACUCAGGUGACCUACCAAGGUCUUAAUCUGUUCCCCCGAGCAGAAAUGAUAAUGGAACAGCAAACAGUCCUCUGGGGAAUGUAUAGUUCUCUUCUGGGACAGGUACCUGGACCUGGAGCAUUAACUCUUUAACCCCCCAUGCACUACGUGAUAUUAUGAUGUGCAAAACCAAUAACCAAAAAUCAUAAAACCAUGACAGAUAGGUCUGCAGCAACAGAAAGAACUGAGAAGUUGUCUCAGCUUUUAUUAAAGUAGUACAGAUCUUGCCUUUUAGGCACAUACCUGUAUGAUUACAGAUCAUGUGAUCACGCAAAACAGAAAAGAGGACUCUAUGUAGCCAAGAGAAAAAGAAUAAAGGAUAAAGGAAAUGGGGAAAGAGGAAAUCUGACACUGCAGUUUAAAUGCUAGACCAUAAACUUAACAGAGAGGCAGUAAUUAUAAAAUCUGAUCUUGGGGAUUUAAGGAAUUUUACAUUAGAUGUCAGUGGAUUGAAUGCUGAAGUAGUCCAAAGAAAAGAGGCUAAGAAAGUUCUGAGGUGACCUGAUUGAGGCCUUUGAGUCUAUAAAAUGGAGCUACAGGAAAGAAGGGGUCAGACACUUUUAAGAGAAUAUUUCUGGCUGAUGGACAAGUACGGGCAAGUCUUAGACCUUUGUCUCAAAGCUUGCUGUUGGACAACUUCAACAGAUGGACAAGUCCAAGAAAUCUUUUAUCUGAAGACUUGCAGGCCAGGGAAACAAGCAGCCACCAGAGAUAAGCAGCUGCUAAAUGGCCGGUGAGAAAUUUUUUGUGGGCACAUCUUGAGGGAGAUAAUCAUCCAGAGAACCUGCAUGCCCACUGGUGCUGCACGUGACCCUAACCUAAGUGCCCAGGAAUGCCAUGCUGGCAGAAGAGAAUGAAAAAAGGCACCAACAAUCAAGGAGGGGUGUGCCAGAUAUUGGAAGACUUGUGGGUUGAAACUUGCCUGCUGCUUGCUUCUCCUGCGCCUUCUACCGGAGACCUGGAAUUGCUGUUGGUCACCUACUGCUUACCUGCUUGCUGUCUAAGGCCAGCCAUUCUGCUGCUGCUUCUCCCUGCACCUUUACUCCUGCAUCAGCCUUAGACCGUCAAAACAGUAUGCACAACAGACACCAAUGGAUCCUAGGUGGUGACUAUCCCCACUUUACAUAAUUAUUGCUUUUUUCAUGUCUUUCCUAUCGCCCACUUUCCCUUCUUCAUCACCCUAAUUCAUAAUAAUUGCCAGCUUUUCCCUCCCCAAAACUUUAAUUGACAGUAAACUGGUUGAACAACAUUUGACCUCACUUGUUUCUCAAUCUCACUCCAGGUAUAUAAAAAAAUGUCUCCUCUAGCUCUGAUAAAUGGAGUGAGACAACUCUUUAGCAGGGUCUGUUGUGACAGGACAAGGAGAAAGGUUUCAAGCUUGAAGACAGUAGAUUUACGCUGGACAUAAGGAAAAAAUGAGAGUGGUGAGGGACUGGAACAUAUUGCCCAAAGAUGUAGUAGAUGCCCCAUCCUUGUAGACUUUCAAGGCCAGGCUGGACCAGGCUCUGAGAUCUAGCUGUGGAUGUCCCUGUUCACUGUGGGUGAGUUGGACUAGAUUACCUUAAAGGUCCCUUCCAACUCUGAGGAUUCUAUGAUUAUAUGGUUUUAUGGUGUUGGUAGAUGCUCGCCUGAACAUGAGUGAGUAAUAUUCCCAGGAGCCCAAGAAGGCCAAUGGUGUCCUGGCUUGUAUCAGCAAUAGUGCAACAAGUAGGGCCAGGGAGGUAAAUCUGUGAUUCUGUCCUUGUCCCCCUGUACUCAGCUCUGCUGACGCCUCACUUCGAGUACUGUGUUCAGUUUCAGGCUCCUUGCUAAAAGAAAGACAUUGAGGACCUGGAGUGUGUCCAGAGAAGGGCAACAAAGCUGGUGAAGGGUCUGGAACACAAAUCUUAUGUGGAGUGGCUGAGAGAACUGAGUUUAGACUGGAAAAGAGGAGGCUAAAGGGUGACCUUAUCAGUAGCUCUCUACAACUACCUGACAGGAGGUUGUGGUGAGGUGGGGUCAGCCUCUUUUCCCAGAUAACAGUGAUACGACAAAAGGGAACAGCCUCAAGGUACACCAGGGUAGGUUCAGAUUGUAUAUUAGGAAGAAUUUCUUCUCAGAAAGAGUAGUGAGGGGUUGGAAAUGGCUGCCCAGGGAGGUGGUAGAGUUGCCAUCCCUGGAGGUGUUUAAGGAAAGGGUAAUAGUGUACUUACAGGCAUGGCUUAGUGAGCAAUAUUGGUAGUAGGUGAAUGGUGGGACUAGAUGAUUUUAGAGGUCUUUUCCAACCUUAAUAAAUCUAUGAUUCUGUGAUAUUAUUUUUAUGCUUUAUAUGUACCUUAAAGAAUACAAAAUGACUGUCAACUAAAAAAAAAAUAAAAAAUAGAGACAAUAUUUUUGUUUUCAAAUAGAUUGUAUAUACCAACUCACAGUGAUACUCUGGAGUGAAAAUUAUCUGUAUUUCUGAG
ensembl:lncRNA